GCCUUGCUGAUGAAUGUCAAAUAGCACGAAACUUAAGUCCAAGGU
rnacentral:hammerhead_ribozyme from 1 species